AGUGAACGCUGGCGGUAGGCCUAACACAUGCAAGUCGAACGGCAGCACAGUAAGAGCUUGCUCUUACGGGUGGCGAGUGGCGGACGGGUGAGGAAUACAUCGGAAUCUACUUUUUCGUGGGGGAUAACGUAGGGAAACUUCCGCUAAUACCGCAUACGACCUACGGGUGAAAGCAGUGGAUCUUCGGACCUUGCGCGAUUGAAUUAGCCGAUGUCGGAUUAGCUAGUUGGCGGGGUAAAGGCCCACCAAGGCGACGAUCCGUAGCUGGUCUGAGAGGAUGAUCAGCCACACUGGAACUGAGACACGGUCCAGACUCCUACGGGAGGCAGCAGUGGGGAAUAUUGGACAAUGGGCGCAAGCCUGAUCCAGCCAUACCGCGUGGGUGAAGAAGGCCUUCGGGUUGUAAAGCCCUUUUGUUGGGAAAGAAAAGCAGCAGGUUAAUACCCCGCUGUUCUGACGGUACCCAAAGAAUAAGCACCGGCUAACUUCGUG
rnacentral:rRNA from 1 species